ensembl:lncRNA
GAAAGAGCCAGGCUUCCACUUUCUGGGGAAAACCAGAGACCCCCUUUCAUUUGGUAAGCAAAUGUUAUGUGCUUUGCUACAAAAGCACAAAAGAAGGAAAUCUGCUCUGUCCGAGGUCUCGCUUUCCGGCUGUUCCUAGAGGACCUGAUCCUACAGUGAUGACAACCGGUCAGGAACUAUACCGGCACAGGUUGACCUACUGAACGGUGACCCGGAAAGAGUUCCAUUGGACUCAGUGAGUAUAUUUUUAGGGUCAUGUCGUGUCUGCAUGCCGUGUGUCUUUUUUCUUGUGCCUCCCGGUGGGAUUGUUGAGCCUGUCAGGCUGUAGUGGAGUGACACGGAUUCCCCUUCGUGCGUCAGAACUGUCCCGUUCGCGGUCCCUGAUAGGGAUAGGGUCUUUUUCCUGUCUGGUACAGGAGUUUGGAUGGACGCUGGGAGCGUGUCGUAACCUCCCAUGUGGGUUUUCCCAUUAUUUAUUUAUUUAUUUAUUUCUCCAUUUAGGUUUCAAUUGUUUUAAUCUCUUUUUUAAUUCUUUUUUCUUUUUCUUUCAAGGGAUUCUGGGGUGGCAUAGGUAUGCCUUUGCCCGUGUUUGUCCUUAUUGGGAGUUGUAAUUAAUCAAAUAAUGAUUCUUAUGAACAGGCCGACCAGAAGGGAAAAUAACAGUAGAGCGAAUUGCAAACAUGAGGCACGGGCUGAUUAGGGUUAGGGUUAAGGUUAGAGUUAGGGGGUUAGGGUUAGGGUUAAGGUUAGAGUUAGGGCUUUAGGGUUUUUUGGGUUAGGGUUAGGGUUAGGUUUUUGUAGGCAGUACGUGGGGUAAGUUUCCAGUAAGCACCUCUGCAGAAAAUGCUUGGCGUAUUUGGUUAUUUUUAUUAAUGUACUCAAUUUUACUGAAAAUUGGAAACAAAAUCAGUGCUCACUGAUAUCCAAGCAACUUCAUAAAUCUUUUGUAAAUAUUUCUUUUAAUCUUUGAUUUAGUUGCCAAUAAGUGGCUCUGCUGUCGGGGACAAGAUUUCAGGAGAAGGUGCACUCUGUCCAGGUCCGACUGAGACUGAAAAUUGAAACUCUACCUAAAGCAAGCUGAAAAGAUUUUCAGAACUAAGAUAUUUGGCAUAGAUCAAAUGGGCUGAUUAGAUUUGUACUAUUUUUUGUGAUGUGUAUAUGAAGAAUAAAAUACAGAAUUGAUAUGAAAGAUAAAUAUAUUAGUUUACUAUUUUACAAUAUUGUGUAAUCUCUAGAUAAAGGUGAUUACUGCACUUCCCUGUUUAUUGUUUUAUCAAAGGCUUGACACAGUGGAUCAUGAAAUAUUGCUGCAGAGAUUAAAUAAUGCUGGUCUAUUAAAUCAUUUAAAAAUUAUUGAAGUAAUCUCAGAGAGGCUAUUCGGGUUAAAUAAAGGUUAAAUAAAUAAAUAAAUAAAUAAAAUGGCUCUUUCCACAGGUGAUGGCUAAUUCCCUGCUUUUCUUGUAAUACUUGAUUUAAUCUCCCAUCCCUUCAGUUCUCUCAUCUUCGUGUAAUCUCUAAUCAAAUAUCAUUUGUUGGAAUACCCCCUCUCAUAAAGGGGUCUUCUACUCUCAUGUUUAGUUAAUCUGUCAAAGAGUUCUAGUCUGUUGUCUGCAAAAAUACAACAAAAUACAACAAAGAUUCCUUCUUCUCCCUUCCUGAAUUCCUCUCUUAAUAUCCUUCUGGUGAAUGAAAAAACCAAAUCCUUUAGUCUAGGACUAUUUGUGAUGUACAUUAAUCUAACAUCUUAAUAUCCCAUCUGUGCUAACGAGUGAUAAUCCCAAUAAUACAGAACUAAAAUAGAGUAAAUGAGGUUGAGAUCUAGACAUGUAUUUACAGUUCUCUAGUCUCUUUUAUCCCACUCAUUUUUAUUCAAAACAUCCUACUGAAUUUGUUUUUACUGUCUACAACAAUAGUGUUUAGUUUAAAGGGUAGACGUGCAUGCACCCCUUUGUUCCUUAUUAACUUACAACUGUACCACACUCAAAAUAUCACUCAGACCCUUCAUACAUGACAUUUAAACUGUUCACUUUCUGUAAAUCUCUCUAAUCAGGAGUAAUGCGCAUGUGUAUUUAACUAGUCUAACAAAAUUUAUCUACUAUGAGCUUGGUUUCAAUUUAAUACAAAUUUGUUUCCUUCACUGAGCGCAAAGAGACUGUAACUGAACUAAACUAACAAACAUGUCACUGCAGUGAGACCCACAUCAGCACAACAACAGGUCACAUCAGC